rnacentral:rRNA from 1 species
UACGGAAGGCAGCAGUGGGGAAUAUUGGACAAUGGGCGGAAGCCUGAUCCAGCCAUGCCGCGUGUGUGAAGAAGGCCUUUUGGUUGUAAAGCACUUUUAAGCGAAGAGGAGGCUACUAGUACUAAUACUACUGGAUAGUGGACGUUACUCGCAGAAUAAGCACCGGCUAACUCUGUGCCAGCAGCCGCGGUAAUACAGAGGGUGCGAGCGUUAAUCGGAUUUUACUGGGCGUAAAAGCGUGCGUAGGCGGCUGAUUAAGUCGGAAUGUGAAAUCCCUGAGCUUAACUUAGGAAUUGCAUUCGAUACUGGUCAGCUAGAGUAUGGGAGAGGAUGGUAGAAUUCCAGGUGUAGCGGUGAAAUGCGUAGAGAUCUGGAGGAAUACCGGAUGGCGAAGGCAGCCAUCUGGCCCUAAUACUGACGCUGAGGUACGAAAGCAAGUGGGGAGCAAACAAGGAAUUAAGAAUAACC